rnacentral:sRNA from 1 species
AGGAUAUUUCUUUCAGCUUGGGGAAGCAUAAAAUAUUACAGAUGAAGGGGAUUCUUAUCUAAUAGAAUUGUCUUUAACUAAUUUCUUUUGAUAGUUGUCUAGCCUCUAUUGAAUAUCUUUAGUGCUGGGACUCUCACUUCUUUUGUUUACAGUGAAAGUAAGGAAGGCCAUUUUACCCAGAAUGGAUGGGCCUGGGCACAGAGGAGAAGUAAUAUAGAUUUUGACGUAAGAGAAAGGAUGAGUUUAUUGGGGUUUGCUCUGUGGAUGUUCUAACCUCACAUCUAGGAGAGGUUCCCCUAUGCUCACAAAGGCUGGUCUUGCCAAAAUUUUGCACUAAUAAUGCAGGUAUACACACGGUCUGUGAUUGAACCACUUCCUGUCACUCCAACUCGGGACGUGGCUACAUCUCCCAUUUCACCUACUGAAAAUAACACCACUCCACCAGAUGCUUUGACCCGGAAUACUGAGAAGCAGAAGAAGAAGCCUAAAAUGUCUGAUGAGGAGAUCUUGGAGAAAUUACGAAGCAUAGUGAGUGUGGGCGAUCCUAAGAAGAAAUAUACACGGUUUGAGAAGAUUGGACAAGGUGCUUCAGGCACCGUGUACACUGCAAUGGAUGUGGCCACA